rnacentral:lncRNA from 1 species
AAGGAAUUACGCACGUGAUCUUGCCACGUGAAACACACGCUUAUGUGUCAAACCGAUGAUGAAAUGCACAAUUCUUUCAACACUCUCAACCUCAGAAAUCUCUCCGCAAAUUAUUCUUCUUCUUCUCCAACAAAUUGCAGCCAUAUUGAAGACUAUGGACUACUCCAUGGUUCCGAAACAACAUCGGCCAGAGCGUGAUAUGCAAAACACAUUAGCGAGUGCAUACAAUUUUUUCGUUGCAAAUCGAAUUCCGAGAAAAUACAGAGGAAAAAAAAUAAGCAUUUGUUAAUCGAAUUAUUUAAAAAAAAAAAAGUAAAGAGAAGAUCGUCGUAUUUGCCUCUUACCAGUCACAUUCGAACUUUUUUUUUCUUGAAAUUAUGGCGUUGUUCAUGGUGAACAUCAUAUUUCCAUCUUGCCAGUCACAUAAAAUCUGAAAACUGAUGUCAUUCAUCGUGUUUUUCUCCCUCGAAGCACGUGACAUGGUGUAUUGAGAAAGGAACGC